rnacentral:rRNA from 1 species
CCUACGGGAGGCAGCAGUAAGGAAUAUUGGUCAAUGGACGAAAGUCUGAACCAGCCAUCCCGCGUGCAGGAUGAAAGCCCUAUGGGUUGUAAACUGCUUUUAGCAGAGAAGAAAAGCUUCCAUUUAUGGGGGUCUGACGGUAUCUGCAGAAUAAGCACCGGCUAACUCCGUGCCAGCAGCCGCGGUAAUACGGAGGGUGCGAGCGUUAUCGGGAAUUACUGGGUUUAAGGCGGAGGUAGGCGGCGUAUUUGAAAUAGUGUCGCUUAACGAUAAAAUUGCCAAUGAUACUGGUACUCUUGAAUUGGGUUGAGGUGAGCGGAAUGUGACAUGUAGCGGUGAAAUGCAUAGAUAUGUCAUGGAACACCAAUUGCGAAGGCAGCUAACUGGGCCUUGAUUGACGCUGAGGCACGAAAGCGUGGGUAGCGAACAGGAUUAGAUACCCUAGUAGUC